GGCAGACCAGAGUUGCCUGGGAGCCACUCUCCCCCAGAGGCAGCCUUUUCACCCACAGAGGGGUGCAAACACCCAGCCCCCUCAUCCAAGCCAGGGAUCAUCUGAGGCAGGUGCUUCGUGCCAUUUCCCGAAAUUUUCCUGCAGGUUCCUCUCCCAUUGCCCACGUGGUAACUGGCUUAACAGCGCACCCUGUGUGGGCUGCCUUCUAGUCUCGCGUCCCUUCCAGCCCUUCUCUGCACCUCCCGAUAAACCGUGCCCACUGAGAUCUUCGGUGCAGCAUUUGCUUUUGGAGGAAGUCGGAUAAGACACUGCUGCAUUGCUCUCUCUUACUUCGAGGCCUCCUUCUCUUCUGAUUUGUUCUCUAAACUCAACUCAACCUGUCACCUGAGCCUCUUCCCGGUCACCCUCGGGUCCCUCACCCUUGACUCAUCUGGACCAGGUUACACAGGACUGCCUCGCUGCCUGCAGAUUCCCAGAUGACUCUCCCAGCAGCUGCCUCUAAUCGGAGACACCUCUGCCUUUAAAGCCUGCAAGCCAAUGAUGAUGACCUCGCUCACCCCCGGCUGCCUCCAAUUUUGUUUUUCAGCAAGAGAGAAGCAUCUGUGUUACUAAUGAAGUCAAGAUUUGGGGAGAAAAAGCAUACUUCCAGCUAAGUUCUGGCCUUACAUAAAUACAAUCCACUCGAAGAAAAGCAACAGACUAGAAAAAAAUAUUGUUAGCACCCGUAACAGAAAAAAGGAUUACUGUUGAUAAUAUAUAAAGAGCUCCUACAAAUCAAAAAGAAAAAGACAGCCCAGUGGAAAAAUUGACUUUUUUUUUUUACUUAAAAAAUUGUUUUUAGUUGUGGUAAAAUGCAGGUAACAUAAAAUUUAUCAUAGUAACCAUUUUUAAGUACCCUCACAUCAUUGUGCAACCAGCGCCAUCAUCCAUCGCCAGAAAUUUUUCAUCUUCCCAAACUGAGACUCUUUCCUCAUUAAACACUAACCUCCCUGCCCCUGGAACCCACCCUUCUGCUUUCCGUCUCUGUGAACUUGACGACUCUAGGUCCCUCCUAUAAGCAGAAUCAUAUAGUGUUUGUCCUUUUGUGGCUAACUUACUUCAUUUAACAUAAUGUCAUCAAUUAUUUGUCCAUGUUGCAGCAUGUGCCAGGAUUUCCUUCCUUUUUAAGGCUGAAUAAUAUUCCAUUGUGUGGAUGGACCACAUUUUGUUUAUCCGUUCAUCCAUCAAC
rnacentral:lncRNA from 1 species